AACUACAAGCAAGAAGGGCGCUGGUGGAAGGUCAGUUCGAUGCUUUCUGGAGAACUAUCCUUCCAAGGUGGAGGAUCCCAUCUUGGAUACCACAGUGCCUUAAACGCUGCCUCAGCCAGGUGAUCAAGGUCAGUGUCUACUGUGAUAAGUCAUGUUUUUGGUGUGUACCCUUGAUGUGAUGUGAUAGAAAUGGCACUUUACCCCUGUGGUCUUCCUCUGAAAAAUCCCAUAACAGCAGCCUAAUCAGGAGAAGCACAUCAACAAAACUGAAACUCAGGGACAUUCUACAAAAUGCCAGGCUGUCCCUCCUCAAAAUUGUCAAGUUCACCAAAAACAAGGUGAAUCUAAGAAACCUGUUGCAGCCAAGAGGAGCCUAAGAAGACAUGAGGACUAAAUGUAACAUGGAAUUUGGGAUAGGAUUGUGCAACAGAAAAUGUACGUGCUAAUGUGAGAUGUUAACAAUUGCAGAAACUCAGUGUUGGGUAAAAGGAAUUCUCUGUACUAUGUUUGAGACUUACCUAUAAACCUAACAUUGCUCUACAACAAAAAAAGUUUACCUAAAAACAACUCUGUGGUGAGCAAACUUAAGCAUAGAAAUGUUAAAUAAAUUGUCCAAAAUAGAGAAG
rnacentral:lncRNA from 1 species